rnacentral:misc_RNA from 1 species
GUGAAUCAUCGAAUCUUUGAACGCAAAUUGCACUCCCUGGUAUUCCGGGGAGUAUGCCUGUUUGAGGGUCGUUAGAAUACAAACUCGAGGCGUCGCUCUUUUUCUGUGGGUGAUCGCGUCGGAAUUGAGCCGUCUUUCAAAUGUUACUUAAUGUCAAAGUGUCUUCAACUUCUUUCAUCCGGUACGAUUAAUACGUAUUCAAGAUC